GUUGUUGUUGUUGUUGUUAGAUUGCCAGCAACAACACUAUUGUUGGCAAGGGAACGUAUAUACAUUUCUGCUUCUCAUUCAAGGGAGGACCUUGUUAGGGAUCUUAAGGUAUUUCCCAUGAAAAGGUUUGAACACCUUGGCUUUUGUAUUCAAUUUAGAGUGUAAGGAUCUGAAGCAAUACCAUUGAGCCAAGCAACAACCUUUUCUGUGAAUUUAGACCUUGGCAUCUGCAGAAGAUAGUUGAUGUGUUGGAACAUAUAGUUGAGAGGUCCACUACGAAGGAAAAUGGUCGAUCAAAUGGCUCUGGCCAGUAUGAUGCUAUUAAUGAUGGCAAUUCCAGUUCAACUAAGACUUCAACAAGCUCUAAAGGCCUGACAUUUGUUGAAGACAUUUCUAAGUCCGUUUAUGUGAAACAAGCUAAGUGAAAGCCAACGUACCCUUCUUCUUACAACAGGUCCAACUAAUAGCCUGAUCAUUUAUCCUGAUCACCGUGGAUAUAUUGCUCGGUUCAUCAUGGCAUCAACAACCACACUCAGAGAUAUAAACUGUUUAAGAGCAACGAUGACGACUUGUGGGAGCUGGAGAAGCUUGAAGUGAGUGGGAGAACUCGUACACUAAUUGCUUCAAAUAUACACCUGCCAUGGAUAUAUCAUAUAUGGAGCGUUGGUAUAUGGAGAAUUGGUUGUAUAUGGAUAUAUAUAAGGAGCAUUGGUUGCAUAUAUGGAUAUAUGGAGCAUUGGUUGCAUACUUGCAUAUUGCCAUAAGCAUACUGGGAAAACUGUUGUUUCUGGGAAAAAGUGUGGUUCAUUAGUUUAGUAUGUUCAUGUUUUUGUGGCUGGAAUCCAAGAACAUAAGCUAGCUAACACCUGAUAUUGUAGGUUUGAUAGAGAUGAUACUUGUGCAAAACAAGUUGCAAGCAUCUCAAUAGAAGAUGAACGUUUUAGAAUCUUGUCUAUUACAUGAUAAUACGACUUUAUCAUGAUAUUUCUCAUUUAUCAUCUUUCUUGCAUUAACAAUA